CACAAACUCAGUUUUCUUUCCAGGGAAACCAGUCCAUUCAUACUAUUACAUGUUCAUACUAAGUCAAAUUGAACUUCUAGCAGUCAAAUAAAACCAAGUUUAACUACCAAGUAGAACAACUGCAAUCAUUGGGAACUUGUAUCACUGCAGACUCACCAUAAAAAAUAUACAUUGAUAUAUCAUAUGCAUUGCUUUUGAAACCUUGAUAACAUAUAAAUUAUUUGCCUUAAUAAAUAAAUCAUUAGAUAAACAUGAAUGUACUAUAUAUGAAUGUUUAACGUUGAGGCAACAUUGCCACAGUUUUCAUAAUUACGGUUGCCUUGGUUUUUGGUUAACUGCCU
rnacentral:lncRNA from 1 species